rfam:Oryza barthii chromosome 12, whole genome shotgun sequence.
AAUGUAUGACGCCGUUGACUUUUUGUCUAACGUUUGACCGUUCGUUUUAUUCAAAAAAUUUAUGUAAUUAUCAUUUAUUUUAUUGUGACUUGAUUCAUCAUCAAAUGUUCUUCAAGCAUGACAUAAACAUUUUCAUAUUUUCACAAAAAAAUUGAAUAAAAAGAAUGGUCAAACGUUGCUCAAAAAAGUCAACGGCAUCAUACAUU